rnacentral:lncRNA from 1 species
CUUAUUACAUAACAAAAAUGAUCACAAUACUCUUAAUGAAAAGGGUGGCCAUGAAGUGUCUUUCUAACAAAGUGUGAUCCCCAAAACACCCUUAGUGAAGGGUUCUUCUUCAAUGCUUCACAACUGUAGGGGCAUUAUUUAACACUUGUAGUCUUGGGUUGGCAUCAAAGGUAAGCCCCCACGCAAUCUUCCACACACGGGUUUACCUUAUGUUAUGCUCAAAAUGG